ensembl:miRNA
CUAUUCGAUUGGUGCAGAAGUAAUUGCGGUUUUUGCCAUUACUUUAAUUGCAAAAACUGCAAUAACUUUUGCACUAACCUAAUA